rnacentral:rRNA from 1 species
AGAGUUUGAUCAUGGCUCAGGACGAACGCUGGCGGCACGCUUAACACAUGCAAGUCGAACGAGAGAAGAGGAGCUUGCUUUUCUGAUCUAGUGGCGGACGGGUGAGUAACACGUGAGCAAUCUGCCUUUCAGAGGGGGAUACCGAUUGGAAACGAUCGUUAAUACCGCAUAACAUAAUUGAACCGCAUGAUUUGAUUAUCAAAGAUUUAUCGCUGAAAGAUGAGCUCGCGUCUGAUUAGCUAGUUGGUAAGGUAACGGCUUACCAAGGCGACGAUCAGUAGCCGGACUGAGAGGUUGAUCGGCCACAUUGGGACUGAGACACGGCCCAGACUCCUACGGGAGGCAGCAGUGGGGAAUAUUGCACAAUGGAGGAAACUCUGAUGCAGCGAUGCCGCGUGGGGGAAGAAGGUUUUAGGAUUGUAAACCUCUGUCUUCAGGGACGAAAAAAGACGGUACCUGAGGAGGAAGCUCCGGCUAACUACGUGCCAGCAGCCGCGGUAAUACGUAGGGAGCGAGCGUUGUCCGGAAUUACUGGGUGUAAAGGGAGCGUAGGCGGGAUCGCAAGUCAGAUGUGAAAACUAUGGGCUUAACCCAUAAACUGCAUUUGAAACUGUGGUUCUUGAGUGAAGUAGAGGUAAGCGGAAUUCCUAGUGUAGCGGUGAAAUGCGUAGAUAUUAGGAGGAACAUCAGUGGCGAAGGCGGCUUACUGGGCUUUAACUGACGCUGAGGCUCGAAAGCGUGGGGAGCAAACAGGAUUAGAUACCCUGGUAGUCCACGCCGUAAACGAUGAUUACUAGGUGUGGGGGGACUGACCCCUUCCGUGCCGCAGCAAACGCAAUAAGUAAUCCACCUGGGGAGUACGACCGCAAGGUUGAAACUCAAAGGAAUUGACGGGGGCCCGUACAAGCAGUGGAGUAUGUGGAUUAAUUCGAAGCAACGCGAAGAACCUUACCAGGUCUUGACAUCGUAUGCAUAGCUCAGAGAUGAGUGAAAUCUCUUCGGAGACAUAUAGACAGGUGGUGCAUGGUUGUCGUCAGCUCGUGUCGUGAGAUGUUGGGUUAAGUCCCGCAACGAGCGCAACCCUUACUGUUAGUUGCUACGCAAGAGCACUCUAGCAGGACUGCCGUUGACAAAACGGAGGAAGGUGGGGAUGACGUCAAAUCAUCAUGCCCCUUAUGACCUGGGCCUCACACGUACUACAAUGGCUGUCAACAGAGGGAAGCAAAGCCGCGAGGUGGAGCGAACCCCUAAAAGCAGUCUUAGUUCGGAUUGUAGGCUGCAACCCGCCUACAUGAAGUCGGAAUUGCUAGUAAUCGCAGAUCAGCAUGCUGCGGUGAAUACGUUCCCGGGCCUUGUACACACCGCCCGUCACGCCAUGGGAGUCGGUAACACCCGAAGCCUGUAGUCUAACCGCAAGGAGGACGCAGUCGAAGGUGGGAUUGAUGACUGGGGUGAAGUCGUAACAAGGUA